GACGAACGCUGGCGGCGUGCCUAAUACAUGCAAGUAGAACGCUGAAGGAGGAGCUUGCUUCUCUGGAUGAGUUGCGAACGGGUGAGUAACGCGUAGGUAACCUGCCUGGUAGCGGGGGAUAACUAUUGGAAACGAUAGCUAAUACCGCAUAAGAGUAGAUGUUGCAUGACAUUUGCUUAAAAGGUGCAAUUGCAUCACUACCAGAUGGACCUGCGUUGUAUUAGCUAGUUGGUGGGGUAACGGCUUACCAAGGCGACGAUACAUAGCCGACCUGAGAGGGUGAUCGGCCACACUGGGACUGAGACACGGCCCAGACUCCUACGGGAGGCAGCAGUAGGGAAUCUUCGGCAAUGGACGGAAGUCUAACCGAGCAACGCCGCGUGAGUGAAGAAGGUUUUCGGAUCGUAAAGCUCUGUUGUAAGAGAAGAACGAGUGUGAGAGUGGAAAGUUCACACUGUGACGGUAUCUUACCAGAAAGGGACGGCUAACUACGUG
rnacentral:rRNA from 1 species